AAUUUCAAAUAUUGUAAUGGCUGAUUUAGCCUCAUCUUUUGAGUAAUAAAAUUGGUGUGAUCGUUUUCCGUCAAAAAAAAAUAAAAAUUACCAAGUCUUACUAAGCAACUAACUGAACGCUCAACCGUCCAAUCAUCUAUUAACCAUGCAAUCUCAACCGUCCAUUACUUUUCUUGAUCCACUAUAUAUAUCUGAUACUUUUACCUGUUUUAUGAUUCCUUUUCUCUCACCUCUUAACCAUGUCUUCUUCUCCUCGAUCAGUUUUCUUUUACCAAAUGGAAACAAUUUUUCGUUCUUCAAAUUAAUCAAUUAAUCGUUCUUCAAAUUCUUUGAUUAAUUAUACAAUGAAUUAUUUGGUUCGCGUCGAUUCGCGAUUAUUUCUUCACUUUUUGCAGAUUUGAUUGAUUUCGGAGGACUCUUGCAGUGCUCUGAUGUUUGGACUAGUGGUUUGGUCUUGAUUGAUCGUUGGAUGUUCUGCACGGUUCAGCAGGCUGAUAGGGCCAUAUAAGAAGAUGGCUGUGCUGCUGUUUGGCUCUACUAAUUCUAUGGUGUGUUCACAUAAUAUGUACUUCGUAGUUGAGAUGAAUUAUUCUCAAUAUAUGUGUUAUUGGUGAGUUUUUUUUAUGCGUGGUUGAGAAAGUGGCAGUAUUAGCUCGUAUGGUUGGUGUAAUGGGGAGAAUGGAGUGUUUUCCUUGUUUUGGUGAAUUGGUCUUGUUAGCCGACCUUUGCCAUGUCAGGUGCGCUUGCUUGGCAGGUCAUCAAUGUUAAUAAAAGAUCUUUUUUGUGGUUUUGUUGGGAGAUGGCACCGGGUUAUUCCCGGCUCUCCCAACCGUGUGUGCAUGUGUUGUGUCUGUUUUUCUUUAUUUGUCUCCCUUUCCCUGUACCCCUUGCGCUUGAAUCAUCAAACUCCACCACUAUUGCCACCAACAUCGAGCAAAUCCACUGCCAAAUGAUUGUGUUGGACAACAUAUUUGGCCAAGACCCAAUUUUUCCAAGGUAUAUUUAUCAAAUUCUAUAUUUAUCAAAUUCCUUUCUAAUUUCCCUCUUUUAUUACUUAGUCCGAUUAAAUUGCAAGGUAAUCUGCAAAGGUUAAGGUGGUGUCCUUAUUCACAUCAAGGCGUCUUACAAUUGUUGUCUUCGAAAUUGUUUGCAUGCACAGAGGCCCUGCUCUUUGAAACUUUCUAAAUUAGGGCUCCUAGGCCUCCUACAAUUGUCUUGUACAGAGUAUAUUUUGAGAAAUUCUGCUUAUUUAGAGCUUAAUUUAUUUUGAGAAUGUCGAGCAUGUAGAACUUCUCUUCAUUGACUUACCCAUACAAAACUUACUCCAUGAACUUUAGUUUAAUUUCCAUGAACAUCUCAGGUGGAAAGCUACAUACAGAUCCCUAUAUUAUUGCAUAUAUACAAGUAUUUAUCAAAAGAAUAGGUAACCAUGUUAUUGAAUAAGCUACUCUGAUUAAGCAACUCCCACACAAUUUGCAGAGGGUAUUGCAAAAUAGAAGAUGUAAUUACUACUUGCAAGUUGCACAAAUAGGUCAUAUAUGCCACUGGAAUGUACACUGUACUGAUCCUCGUUUUUAUGUACUGCACCAUUUUAUAUGUGUACGCUGCACCAGUCCUCAUAUAUAUGUACGUAGUUAUCCCAUACAGAUUUGGCAAUUUCCCAACCAUUUAAAUAUUUAGUUUCACAGCUUAUUGAUGUAGAUUCUAAGUUUAUUUAUUAUGCAUUUUGUUCAGGCAACUUGAUGCUCAAAUAUAUUUAAACAAUCUAUUACCAACGAGCAAUUUUUUAAUUUUUUUUUUCUUUAUAAAUUCUGCUCUUUGUUUGUUUUGUUUUGCAUUUUACAUUACUGUCGGCUGAGAACAACAGUGUUGAGUCUUGAAAGUGUUUGAUUAUUGAUGUAAUAGAAAUUGUAUCAUUCUCCUUGUACAUUUUUGUAUUAGAAUUCCCUCUACAGGUUUUAUGCAUUUCUAGGUGCAAGACUGUUGAUAUUCUAAAGCUAUGUGGCCAAGUUGCUAUUCUGAUUUUGAGGAUCGGAUCCCAUUGGCAUGUCUACAACUGUCGGCGCUUGUUAGUUUUGCAUGGAUGGUUUGCCUAGCAAUGAGGCACUAUCAAAUAUGCUCGUUAGAAAGAUUUGAUAUUUGUGAUGACAGUACUAUUCACAGUUGCAUGUAAAUGAAUAUGUUCUCAACACCAAAGCAAUCAAGAAUAGUUGAAGUAUUGAUUGUUGA